rnacentral:rRNA from 1 species
UACAGAGGUCUCAAGCGUUGUUCGGAUUCAUUGGGCGUAAAGGGUGUGUAGGUGGCGCCGUAAGUCAGGUGUGAAAUUUCGGAGCUUAACUCCGAAACUGCAUUUGAUACUGCGGUGCUUGAGGACUGGAGAGGAGACUGGAAUUUACGGUGUAGCAGUGAAAUGCGUAGAGAUCGUAAGGAAGACCAGUGGCGAAGGCGGGUCUCUGGACAGUUCCUGACACUGAGGCACGAAGGCCAGGGGAGCAAACGGG